UGAUGUGAUGCACCUGUCCCUGUUCUCACGUGUGUGUUAACAUUAUACAACAACAUUUUUUCUUACACAAAGUCGUUGAAUAACGUGAAAAUACUUAAAAUAUAGGUCACAAAUAAUUUUUAAAGCAUACUUUUACAGUAGUGUGUGAUAUUUGAGGCAUGCCAUUUUUAAAACUUUCCUCUGGUUCCUCAUCCGGGUAACUUCUCACAUCGCGUGCAAUUACACAGACAUCAAGAGAAGACUUAAGGUACCACACAAUAAGAUCAAAGAACAGCUGAGGUCUCACGCAUGCAGAAGAGCUACUGGUUGAAAGAAAGAGCUGCAGAGGAGGUGAAGGAGAUAAAGGAAACAAAGACCUGGGUGUUUGAUGGAUGCUCGAGGACAACAGAUGUCUCCGCAGUAUCUGUCUCCAGGGAUGAAGAUAGGUGUAAUUGUGGCUGUAUGUACUGUAAGAGGUAGGCCAGGUGUUCUUCUGGAUCAUAAUGUUCCUGUAGCUCAAUUGGUAGGGCAUUGCAUUAGCAGCGGUAGAGGUCAUGUUCCCAAGGUUCCCCAGGGAAUAGAGAUACUGAUAAAAGGUAUGUCUUGUAAUGCAUUGUAGGUAGCUUUUGAUUUUGGAAACCAAUAAUGUUUUAUGGCAACCUAUAGCACUUUUAUUUGUGUAAGUGUAUGAAUAUUUAAUAGUGUCACUUUGA